rnacentral:lncRNA from 1 species
GUCCCUACAAUUUAGUAUAUUUUUUUCAUUUUCAUCCAUGCAAAAAAAUUGUUUUAAUUCUUAAAAACGCGUUUAUGUUAUUUUUUGUCCUUAAAAUACUUUAAGCCACAUUUGGGUUGUUGUCAGUUUUAAGAUUUUGGUUUUGAAAUACAAUUUUAAAAUAGAAAUGUGUUUGUUGAGAUUAUUUUUUCCUAAAUUUUGAAACACUUUCCUUU